rnacentral:rRNA from 1 species
GACGAACGCUGGCGGCGUGCUUAACACAUGCAAGUCGAACGGAAAGGCCCUGCUUUUGUGGGGUGCUCGAGUGGCGAACGGGUGAGUAACACGUGAGUAACCUGCCCUUGACUUUGGGAUAACUUCAGGAAACUGGGGCUAAUACCGGAUAGGAGCUCCUGCUGCAUGGUGGGGGUUGGAAAGUUUCGGCGGUUGGGGAUGGACUCGCGGCUUAUCAGCUUGUUGGUGGGGUAGUGGCUUACCAAGGCUUUGACGGGUAGCCGGCCUGGGAGGGUGACCGGCGACAUUGGGACUGAGAUACGGCCCAGACUCCUACGGGGGGCAGCAGUGGGGAAUAUUGCACAAUGGGCGGAAGCCUGAUGCAGCAACGCCGCGUGCGGGAUGACGGCCUUCGGGUUGUAAACCGCUUUCGCCUGUGACGAAGCGUGAGUGACGGUAAUGGGUAAAGAAGCACCGGCUAACUACGUG